AGACAAUAGGGAUAGUGUCAUGACUGACAGACAGUUGGAGAUGAGGCUCCCACUUCGGUGUUGCGAGCGUAGUCACAUAGCUGACAGACAAUAGGGGAUGAGGCUCCUAGUUCGGUAUUAUUUUGGCUUCGUGGAUGAUCUAAAACUAUCUUAAAUCGUGAGUGUAUGCACUCCUUGCAAGGCCCAAUGCUUCACUUUGCAUUUUGCCGUUGUUCGUCAAACGCUUAUGGUGCUAGAAGUCCAGGAAAUUGUACGCACUCUCCCCUAACCUGCUGGAGUGUCACGUUCUGCAGAUAAGUACAAGCUUCUUACAGAAAAGCUGAAAGCCUUUGUCAACCACAAGUGAAUGUCACAUACGAAAUGUCUAUAUUACAUGAUUUGUACAAUGUACAGGAAGGAGGGGGAGCGGUUUGACGCAUUCAUAUCUCGCGGCCUUACUUGAGACUGCAGGCGGAUCGCUGUGGUUAUAUUGUAGACAGAGAAACUGUUGUGCUGGAAUGUGCUGUUGCCAGGUGUAAGGACCCGGAGUUGCAGAAGUUUUUUGCAGAUCCACACCUGACGCUUCAAAAGGCUGUGGAAAUGGCCCAACGCCUGGAGGUGACCAGAACCCAGCUGGAUGACCUCAACAGGCCAGGACUUCACUUCAGCCAGGUGGCACCACAACAACUGCAUCUUGCCCGGUCGGCAGCCACGCAAAGUUUUCGCUCUCUGGUCGCCAUGGAUUUCACCGGCAGCUGCGGCAGCGUGGUUAGCGACCCAGUCGAGGCCAGGGCCAUCGAGCUGGCAGAAAGUCACCAUCCCAGGAGAACACACGCGCUAAAGAGGCUCUAAGGUAAAGGACACCAGUCAGCCGCCGGUCACGGUGCUGGACGGCGGCAACACUCGCUUGUACGACGUCAUCCAGCUGAUGGAGUUUUACCAGCUGAACGCCGGAGUGCUGCCCACCAGUGCUGGAAAUGAGGCCGCUUUCUGGUCCCGGCGUUUUAUUCUCCGGGUAAAGGACACCAGUCAGCCGCCGGUCACGGUGCUGGACGGCGGCAACACUCGCUUGUACGACGUCAUCCAGCUGGUGGAGUUUUACCAGCUGAACGCCGGAGUGCUGCCCACCAGUGCUGGAAAUGAGGCCGCUUUCUGGUCCCGGCGUUUUAUUCUCCGGGUAAAGGACACCAGUCAGCCGCCGGUCACGGUGCUGGACGGCGACAAGACUCGCUUGUACGACGUCAUCCAGCUGGUGGAGUUUUACCAGCUGAACGCCGGAGUGCUGCCCAGUGCCCACCCGUCUCAUCUGCUUCAUCACGCACACCGCGCCGUCGUCGUCAUCGGCGCUCCGUCACGUCGCGCAGAGUUUCUAACGGCUGCCGCACCGCCGCCAGCGCCUCCGGCGGCGGAAGCGCGCGGCUGUAGUUCGUGACGGCGGCGUGCUCCGGUCAUGGGGCGAACCCCGGGCCC